UACGAAGGGGGCUAGCGUUGCUCGGAAUGACUGGGCGUAAAGGGCGCGUAGGCGGUUGUGUCAGUCAGAAGUGAAAUUUCUGGGCUCAACCUUGGGGCUGCGUUUGAUACGUCGUGGCUGGAGUGCGGAAGAGGGUCGUGUAAUUGCCAGUGUAGAGGUGAAAUUAGUAGAUAUUGGGAAGAACACCGGUGGCGAAGGCGGCGCCCUGGUCCGUGACUGACGCUGAGUCGCGAAAGCGUGGGGAUCAACCAGG
rnacentral:rRNA from 1 species